UACGAAGGGGGCUAGCGUUGUUCGGAAUCACUGGGCGUAAAGCGCGCGUAGGCGGGUCGUUAAGUCAGGGGUGAAAUGCCGAGGCUCAACCUCGGAACUGCCUUUGAUACUGGCGAUCUCGAGUCCGGGAGAGGUGAGUGGAACUGCGAGUGUAGAGGUGAAAUUCGUAGAUAUUCGCAAGAACACCAGUGGCGAAGGCGGCUCACUGGCCCGGUACUGACGCUGAGGUGCGAAAGCGUGGGGAGCAAACAGG
rnacentral:rRNA from 1 species